GCUGGUGUGGCGCAGUGGUAGCGCAAUUGAUUCGUAAUCAAUAGGUCGUCAGUUCAAAUCUGACCACCAGCU
rnacentral:tRNA from 1 species